rnacentral:rRNA from 1 species
AUUGAACGCUGGCGGCAGGCCUAACACAUGCAAGUCGAGCGGAUGAAGGGAGCUUGCUCCUGGAUUCAGCGGCGGACGGGUGAGUAAUGCCUAGGAAUCUGCCUGGUAGUGGGGGAUAACGUCCGGAAACGGGCGCUAAUACCGCAUACGUCCUGAGGGAGAAAGUGGGGGAUCUUCGGACCUCACGCUAUCAUAUGAGCCUAGGUCGGAUUAGCUAGUUGGUGGGGUAAAGGCCUACCAAGGCGACGAUCCGUAACUGGUCUGAGAGGAUGAUCAGUCACACUGGAACUGAGAAACGGUCCAGACUCCUACGGGAGGCAGCAGUGGGGAAUAUUGGACAAUGGGCGAAAGCCUGAUCCAGCCAUGCCGCGUGUGUGAAGAAGGUCUUCGGAUUGUAAAGAACUUUAAGUUGGGAGGAAGGGCAGUAAGUUAUUACCUUGCUGUUUUGACGUUACCAACAGAAUAAGCACCGGCUAACUUCGUG